CUUAGUGCAGUGGCAGUGCAGUCGAAUGCCACCCUGGAGUUGCCGGUUCGAUUCCGGCUUG
rnacentral:tRNA from 16 species